rnacentral:miRNA from 1 species
AACGGCUAUCACCACUGCCGUCC